UCAACGGUGGUGUAAGGCGAACAUCGCUGCCCGGAAAGCAGAAGAUGCGGGUUUGAGUCCCGCCUGGCGCA
rnacentral:tRNA from 1 species